ensembl:lncRNA
AUUAUAACAUUUAUUUAUCUAGAACCCAGACUCCUCACUCUGAGUUUCCUAUUUGCCAGAUAGAAUUCAAUCCCCCGUUCGAUGCUUGCCCAGAAGCUGUCUGAUUGUUAUUUUCAGCAACGGGCUUAAGUGCCAGCUGUUCAGGCAGUGUUUGGUGCAAGCACCCUUGGGUUCGUUUCAUCUUUCCACUGCUGCUCAGAAUUCCCUUUGAGAACUCUAAGUGUCAACAGGCACGAUCAUUAUCUGAGUCACCUGAUACGAUACAAGAAGAGAUGUCACACGAGCUGCCAAACAGGACACAUUAUUGCCAGGCUGUGUGCCCUGAGGGAGGCGACCAGGGCAAUCCAAGCAGAUGGUCUAUGAGCUCUGACAGCCAAAAGCUUUCACAGGGGCAUCAAAGUCACGAGUGAGCUGAAUCUUCAGCACCGAUCAAGGAAACACCAGCCGCCCUCUUUGCUGAGAGGAGAAGAAAGAAUUAGCCCUUCUCUGGGCCUGAAGUGGACUUGAACUUGUCCAAGGAUACUGAAAGCUUGGGGCAGCUGCCCAGAAUGCGGCCAUAUCCCUGCUCAGAGAGCUGCAAGGGGAAGGGCUAAGAUGGCAAUGAGCCCACUCUCCUCCUUAUUGGAAGGGUCCUGGGCCAUCCCAGAUGUGCCCACUUGCCAAGCUGUUUCCAUUGUAAAGCAGGAGGUGGUGGAGCCCGUCACUCAGAAGUAUGGCCUCUACCUGCCCUUAUCCCAAAGAGCUGCACCACCAGGACCUCAUGGGCUCCUCUCCCUUGGCUCCCCUCCACCCUUGGAAGAAGGCAGCCUCAGUCAAGCUGCAGACCUCAGGGGGAUAAAGUUGAAGGGUCAGUAAAGAGAAAGUCAGAGAAAACACAGAUGCCGCCAAGGCCUCAGGACACACUCCAAAUGUCUCCAAACGCAAAGAUCUCUGAAUGAUCUCUGAAAGGCCAGGCCACGAGUCUUUCUGUGUGUUUGUCACUGUCCCAUUCCCCUUGUCUUACCCUGGCACCCACUCUCCCUCUGUCCUCGGCCGUCCCUCAAGGGACCCAUCCCUGGCAAACCUGUGAGCUGCUCAGCCCCCUAAGUGGUCUCAGCACCUCCAAAGACCCCCAUCCUGGGUGAGAAAGAAUUCCCCCCAACGCAGGCCCAGUUCAGCGCUUAUGUUGGCCAAUUCUGGCCUUGCACUUCCUUCCCUACAGUCGUCUUCCCUCUGGGGUAGGGGUAGGGGAAGGGGAGGGUAAAGGUGAUGAUCUCUAAGGCUCCAAGCUCUUAGGCAUUAUUCGUGUCCUUUCCCAUGGAGGGGAUUGGGAAGGGAUGUCC